rnacentral:lncRNA from 1 species
AGCUGGGCUCCAGAGUGCCGCUCCUUAUCAGCAAGGUCCCUCUGCGCUGGGGACGCUGCUACCCACAUUCCCCUCCCACACACGCUCGCCCUCACCCCAGGCCCCCACACUGUUCCCCCAGCAGCCACUGGGCAUAGGCAAGGAGAGCUGGGAGCAGCCAUUCUGCUUCGCGGGCCAGUGGAGAGAGAGAGGGCUCUUCUGGCCAGCCCCAUGAGGGAGACCCAAGCCACAGGCCUCAGACCACUCAGCCACGGCCACCCCUCGGCCCACUUUCUGGCUCGCCAAGUAGGCAUAAAGAUUCCCCAAGGCUCCAUCUUCAAGGUGACCCUGUUUUCUCACCCAAACUGCUGCCUACAAGUAUGGCUCGGAUCGGGAUCCUGCCUAGGCCCCUCCCUCUGACAAGAAACAUGUGGGCUGCUUUCCCUGCUUCAGACGGAGAUCAGGGUACGAGGGCUGAGGGGGACUCUCCUAGCAUGCCUAAGAACCUAGAAGGUCCUGAGAUAUUCCAGAGUGCUCCCUCGUUGGCUACCAUGAUGGCACCAUGUUACUGA